UAUUCUCGCCCGUGUUGUUAAAUUUUUAAACUGGAGUUGCCAGAGUAAAAUUAAAAACAAAUGGUGGUAUAAUACCCAAUUCUGUUCUGUCUGUUGAGAAUUAGAACGAUGAAUAUUAAAUGCAGUUUUUUUUAUCAUGGUUUAAACAUUUUAAAGUCGAUGUUAAUUUGGCUACCCUGAUAGCAACACCGAAUAUUUUUUUAUAUUUUGUCUCUACACAUAAACAAGAAAGAGACACAUAUAUGUUCAUUGAACAGAAAGAAUUUGAAAAAGGGAAAAUGGCGGAUAAUAGGAAUCAAGCAACCAUGAUAGAUCUAUUAUUUUUUAUAGCAAAACACUAGUUUAUAAACUCCGUUCGUUAUUCUAACCAGUGUGAACAAAAAAAUGAUAUAUUCUCGAUUAAAAAUUAUUAUGAUGAUGUCUAUAUGCAACGAAAUUUAAAAAAAAAGUAGUUACAUGUAUUUUUAUGUUCUUUAUUUUUAUAUUGUACCAGUUGAACAAACAUUUAUUCGAUGCAAAAACAAAUUGCACUAAUUGGUAUUAAAAUGCAUUACUUGAGAAAAUAUUUAGUUUUACAAACCUUUUCAAACAUCUUACUUAAGCUAUGAUAUUUCUUUUGUUGUUAUAAACUACAUUAGUUAUUUUCAUACACAUUUUUAAAUACUAAUUUUUCUAUGUGCGAUUUCACGCUAAACCAUGCAUAAUUAUAAAUAAUUAAAUUAGCGUGACAAAGCCACAAUCACUGAAUAUUUACAGGAACUCCUCACACCAAUCGUUCAAACAGUUGUAGCAAUCGGACGCCUGUUUGGAGCUCGCAUUGCACACGUCUUUCAUCCAGUCCUUGAACAAUUCCUCAUCUUUUUUUAGUAUCAAAUACUGACCUAAUACGGUAUAAGCCUGGAAGUAUCAUACAUUAGAAUAUCAGUUUAAUCCUGCGAGCAAUAGCAACAAACCUUAUCAAAUCCCGCAUCUGUUAAUCGUGCACCCAAUACUUCUCCAAUUCCGGCUAACUCUGUAACCGAUUUGUCGCCCAUUGGUUCAGCUACGAAAUUCCUAUAUUUUUGUGAUGUUCCAGCCAUAUUUAUAUAUAUAUAUAUUUGUUAAUAUCCCUUUAGUAACUUAAUUUAAUCAGUGACGAAAUUGAAAGUGGCGCACGAAGUAGAUGAAAACAACAAAA